rnacentral:rRNA from 1 species
UACGGGGGGGGCAAGCGUUGUUCGGAAUUACUGGGCGUAAAGGGCGCGUAGGCGGCCUUCUAAGUCGGACGUGAAAUCCCUCGGCUUAACCGAGGAACUGCGUCCGAUACUGAAAGGCUUGAAUCCGGGAGAGGGAUGUGGAAUUCCAGGUGUAGCGGUGAAAUGCGUAGAUAUCUGGAGGAACACCGGUGGCGAAGGCGGUAUCCUGGACCGGUAUUGACGCUGAGGCGCGAAAGCUAGGGGAGCAAACGGG